rnacentral:lncRNA from 10 species
GCCCGGCCUUUUUUUCUAUUGAUAUAACGCCCUUGGAAUAUUUUGAGAAAGGAAAUGUCUGAAUUUGACAUGCAUUAAAUUUAUUUCCUUGACCUCUAGGGGUAGAAGAACUAUGGGAAACAAGAGUGGAGGCAAAGACACCAUUUGAAAGCCAUUGUAGAUCUUCAGACGGGGCCUCCUGUUAAAGAAAUCUCUCAAUCAAAUAAAUUAUUUUAUUUGACACUGAAGACCUAGAGAAUUCAACAGCUAAUGUGGUCACCCUCUCUAUUUUCAUUUAAAGAUAGAUAAGGCAGGACAACUCAUAUUUGCUUCCCAACCUCCAUCACUCUCUGAGCUCUAGACAUUUUAAAUUCCAAAAACUCUGAUCACCAUUGCCUAUUUUUAAACAAUGAAAGGCUGGAAAAUUAUUCUUCUCUGUAGUCUACGAGAUAGAUAUCAGCACCUGAGAAAAGCACUAGAGACCUUCAUGUUUUAAAUGGCUUGUCUUUCCGAGGUUCCAAGGUUGCAUUUUCUUUGUUUUAAAGAAAGGUCAGUGCAAAAAUGAAUGAAAUGCAACAAAGAGAAAUACUAAGUAAAUACAGCAGAAAAAAAGCCCAGAGGAUUGGAGAAAAGGCAGGGGUGAGGGGUGAACUAAAUAUCAGUUGAUGGGUUCUGAAAAAGGAAUUUCACACUUACAAAAAUUCUUCUAGAAAUCAUUAUGAAUCUAUUUUGCAAAAGCUUAAAAACAAUGGCCUUAAAGCCAAAGUUAGAUCCCUUUGAAAAGUAGAAUAUUUUCAUGAAAUUAUUCUCUGUAAUGUUUUGAAUGUCUCCCUCAUGAAUCCUUGCCCAUUUGAAUGCCCUUGUGUAGAGAGGAGAGAACCUGAGAAUCAGAGAAUAUCUGAUGCGUUCACAUCAAACACAGACAUUCCUCCAUGUCCAUGAUUAGAGGCUUAGGAUCAUCGCUGCUGACCAAUGAUUUACCAGGACUCUCUGAUUUUUCCCUAGAGAUAAUUAUGCAAAAUUAUUUUUAUUUAUGCAAAUCAAAUUAUACGGUACACAAUAUGCAGCAAUCACUUAUGUAAUUUCACAAUAUGACAUGCUUAUCUUUCCAUGCCAAUAUGUGUGGCUCUGAUACCUUCUUUUUAAAGACUGAAUCAUAUUCACUUAAAUUAGUGAUUCCUAAUUUACGGCGGCCAGGGGCUGGGGUUGUGGGGACGGGGAUUUUGCCCGCUAGGGGGCAGUUGGUAACUUCUGG